rnacentral:rRNA from 1 species
CCUCCUUCGGUGGUCCGAGUUGUAAUUUGCAGAGGGUGCUUUGGCGUCGGCAGCGGUCUAAGUUCCUUGGAACAGGACAUCACAGAGGGUGAGAAUCCCGUACGUGGUCGCCUGCCUUCGCCGUGUAAAGCCCCUUCGACGAGUCGAGUUGUUUGGGAAUGCAGCUCUAAAUGGGAGGUAAAUUUCUUCUAAAGCUAAAUACUGGCCAGAGACCGAUAGCGCACAAGUAGAGUGAUCGAAAGAUGAAAAGCACUUUGGAAAGAGAGUCAAACAGCACGUGAAAUUGUUGAAAGGGAAGCGCUUGCAGCCAGACUUGCCCGCAGUUGCUCAUCGGAACUCUUGCUCCGAGCACUCUUCUGCGGGCAGGCCAGCAUCAGUUUGGGCGACCGGAUAAAGGCCUCUGUCAUGUAUCUUCCUUCGGGAUGACCUUAUAGGGGAGGCGUAAUGCGGCCAGCCCGGACUGAGGUCCGCGCAUCUGCUAGGAUGCUGGCGUAAUGGCUGUAAGCGGCCCGUCUUGAAACACGGACCAAGGAGUCUAACAUCUAUGCGAGUGUUUGGGUGUCAAGCCCGGGCGCGUAAUGAAAGUGAACGGAGGUGGGAACCCUCUCGCGGGGGUGCACCAUCGACCGAUCCUGAUGUCUUCGGAUGGAUUUGAGUAAGAGCAUAGCUGUUGGGACCCGAAAGAUGGUGAACUAUGCUUGAAUAGGGUGAAGCCAGAGGAAACUCUGGUGGAGGCUCGCAGCGGUUCUGACGUGCAAAUCGAUCGUCAAAUUUGGGCAUAGGGGCGAAAGACU